UACAGAGGGGGCAAGCGUUAUUCGGAAUUAUUGGGCGUAAAGGGCGCGUAGGCGGCCUGGCAAGUGGAAGGUGAAAUCCCUCGGCUUAACCGGGGAACUGCGUCUGAUACUGGAUGGCUUGAGGUUGGGAGAGGGAUGCGGAAUUCCAGGUGUAGCGGUGAAAUGCGUAGAUAUCUGGAGGAACACCGGUGGCGAAGGCGGCAUCCUGGACCAAUUCUGACGCUGAGGAGCGAAAGCCAGGGGAGCAAACGGG
rnacentral:rRNA from 1 species